AGACCCGAAACCCGGUGAUCUAGCCAUGGGCAGGUUGAAGGUUGGGUAACACUAACUGGAGGACCGAACCGACUAAUGUUGAAAAAUUAGCGGAUGACUUGUGGCUGGGGGUGAAAGGCCAAUCAAACCGGGAGAUAGCUGGUUCUCCCCGAAAGCUAUUUAGGUAGCGCCUCGUGAAUUCAUCUCCGGGGGUAGAGCACUGUUUCGGCAAGGGGGUCAUCCCGACUUACCAACCCGAUGCAAACUGCGAAUACCGGAGAAUGUUAUCACGGGAGACACACGGCGGGUGCUAACGUCCGUCGUGAAGAGGGAAACAACCCAGACCGCCAGCUAAGGUCCCAAAGUCAUGGUUAAGUGGGAAACGAUGUGGGAAGGCCCAGACAGCCAGGAUGUUGGCUUAGAAGCAGCCAUCAUUUAAAGAAAGCGUAAUAGCUCACUGGUCGAGUCGGCCUGCGCGGAAGAUGUAACGGGGCUAAACCAUGCACCGAAGCUGCGGCAGCGACACUGUGUGUUGUUGGGUAGGGGAGCGUUCUGUAAGCCUGUGAAGGUGUGCUGUGAGGCAUGCUGGAGGUAUCAG
rnacentral:rRNA from 1 species